rnacentral:rRNA from 1 species
AUUGAACGCUGGCGGCAGGCUUAACACAUGCAAGUCGAGCGGGGGAAGGUAGCUUGCUACUGGACCUAGCGGCGGACGGGUGAGUAAUGCUUAGGAAUCUGCCUAUUAGUGGGGGACAACAUCUCGAAAGGGAUGCUAAUACCGCAUACGUCCUACGGGAGAAAGCAGGGGAUCACUUGUGACCUUGCGCUAAUAGAUGAGCCUAAGUCGGAUUAGCUAGUUGGUGGGGUAAAGGCCUACCAAGGCGACGAUCUGUAGCGGGUCUGAGAGGAUGAUCCGCAACACUGGGACUGAGACACGGCCCAGACUCCUACGGGAGGCAGCAGUGGGGAAUAUUGGACAAUGGGGGGAACCCUGAUCCAGCCAUGCCGCGUGUGUGAAGAAGGCCUUAUGGUUGUAAAGAACUUUAAGCGAGGAGGAGGCUCUUUUGGUUAAUACCCAAGAUGAGUGGACGUUACUCGCAGAAUAAGCACCGGCUAACUCUGUGCCAGCCGCCGCUGUAA